GAUGAACGCUGGCGGUAUGCUUAACACAUGCAAGUCGAACGGACUCUUCGGAGUUAGUGGCGGACGGGUGAGUAACGCGUGAGAAUCUGGCUUUGGGUUCGGGACAACCACUGGAAACGGUGGCUAAUACCGGAUGUGCCGAGAGGUAAAAGAGAAAUUGCCUGAAGAUGAGCUCGCGUCUGAUUAGCUAGUUGGUGAGGUAAAGGCUCACCAAGGCAGCGAUCAGUAGCUGGUCUGAGAGGAUGACCAGCCACACUGGGACUGAGACACGGCCCAGACUCCUACGGGAGGCAGCAGUGGGGAAUUUUCCGCAAUGGGCGAAAGCCUGACGGAGCAAUACCGUGUGAGGGAAGAAGGCUCUUGGGUUGUAAACCUCUUUUCUUAGGGAAGAACAAAAUGACGGUACCUAAGGAAUCAGCAUCGGCUAACUCCGU
rnacentral:rRNA from 1 species